CCUGCCCAAUGAUCUUUAAAUUAAUAAAAAUAAUCUUUUAUAAAAAGAUUUAAAGGACGCAGUAACCUGACUGUGGUAAUGUAGCAUAAUCACUCGCCAUUUAAUUGAUGGAUAGUAUGAAUGGUUAAACGAAUUUUUCACUGUCUUAAAAAGAGGUAUCAUGAAAUUAAAAUAAUAGUUAAGAUGCUAUUUAAAAUUGUAAGACGAAAAGACCCUAUAGAGCUUAACUACAAAYUUUCUAGACAAAAAAGAAACAUUCYCAAAAUUAGAAAGUUAGGUAGUUUAGUUGGGGCGACUAUCUUCUAAAAAUAACGAAGAUAAGCAAUGUUAAUAAAACUUAUUGUACAAUUAAUAAAUUUAACAAUUACAAAAGUAGGCUAUAAUGACCCGUUAUUCAAAAGUAAAAUUUAUAACGAUCAAUAAAUAAAAGCUACCUUAGGGAUAACAGGAUAAUUUUGUUCUAGAGAUCCUAUCGAAAACAAAGUUUGUCACCUCUAUGUUGAAUUAAGAUAUCCAGAUAAUGCAGAAGUUAUCAAGGGUAGGUCUGUUCGACCUUUAAAUCUUACAUGAUUU
rnacentral:rRNA from 1 species